rnacentral:rRNA from 1 species
GGAUGAACGCUGGCGGCGUGCCUAAUACAUGCAAGUCGAGCGAACAGACGAGGAGCUUGCUCCUYUGACGUUAGCGGCGGACGGGUGAGUAACACGUGGAUAACCUACCUAUAAGACUGGGAUAACUUCGGGAAACCGGAGCUAAUACCGGAUAACAUGUUGAACCGCAUGGUUCAACAGUGAAAGACGGUCUUGCUGUCACUUAUAGAUGGAUCCGCGCCGCAUUAGCUAGUUGGUAAGGUAACGGCUUACCAAGGCAACGAUGCGUAGCCGACCUGAGAGGGUGAUCGGCCACACUGGAACUGAGACACGGUCCAGACUCCUACGGGAGGCAGCAGUAGGGAAUCUUCCGCAAUGGGCGAAAGCCUGACGGAGCAACGCCGCGUGAGUGAAGAAGGUCUUCGGAUCGUAAAACUCUGUUAUUAGGGAAGAACAAAUGUGUAAGUAACUAUGCACGUCUUGACGGUACCUAAUCAGAAAGCCACGGCUAACUAC